UACGUAGGGGGCAAGCGUUGUCCGGAAUUAUUGGGCGUAAAGCGCGCGCAGGCGGUUAUUUAAGUCUGGUGUUUAAUCCUGGGGCUCAACUCCGGGUCGCACUGGAAACUGGGUAACUUGAGUACAGAAGAGGAGAGUGGAAUUCCACGUGUAGCGGUGAAAUGCGUAGAGAUGUGGAGGAACACCAGUGGCAAAAGCAGCUUUCUGGGACGGUACUGACGCUGAGACGCGAAAGCGUGGGGAGCGAACAGG
rnacentral:rRNA from 1 species